rnacentral:rRNA from 1 species
AUGAACGCUGGCGGCGUGCCUAACACAUGCAAGUCGAACGGAGUUGUCACCAUGAAGUUUUCGGAUGGAAUGGAGGCAACUUAGUGGCGGACGGGUGAGUAACGCGUGGGUAACCUGCCUCAUACUGGGGGAUAACAGCUGGAAACGGCUGCUAAAAACCGCAUAAGAUCGCAUCACCGCAUGGUGAGGCGGUUAAAUAUCGAAAGAUAGGUAUGAGAUGGGCCCGCGUCUGAUUAGCUAGUUGGUGAGAUAAGAGCCCACCAAGGCGACGAUCAGUAGCCGGCUUGAGAGAGUGACCGGCCACAUUGGGACUGAGACACGGCCCAAACUCCUACGGGAGGCAGCAGUGGGGAAUAUUGCACAAUGGGGGAAACCCUGAUGCAGCGACGCCGCGUGAGUGAAGAAGUGCUUCGGCAUGUAAAGCUCUAUCAGCAGGGAAGAAGAUGACGGUACCUGACUAAGAAGCCCCGGCUAACUACGUG